rnacentral:rRNA from 1 species
UACGAAGGGUGCUAGCGUUGUUCGGAAUUACUGGGCGUAAAGCGCGCGUAGGCGGCUUCGCAAGUCAGGGGUGAAAUCCCACAGCUCAACUGUGGAACUGCCUUUGAAACUGCAAAGCUAGAGUGUCGGAGGGGAUAGCGGAAUUGCUAAUGUAGAGGUGAAAUUCGUAGAUAUUAGCAGGAACACCGGUGGCGAAGGCGGCUAUCUGGACGACAACUGACGCUGAGGCGCGAAAGCGUGGGGAUCAAACAGG